rnacentral:rRNA from 1 species
AGACGUAGGGGGCAAGCGUUGUCCGGAAUUACUGGGUGUAAAGGGUGAGUAGGCGGGAGAGCAAGUCAGAUGUGAAAUGCAAAGGCUUAACCUUUGAAUUGCAUUUGAAACUGUUUUUCUUUGAGAGUCGGAGAGGUAAUCGGAAUUCCUAGUGUAGCGGUGAAAUGCGUAGAUAUUAGGAGGAACACCAGUGGCGAAGGCGGAUUACUGGACGACAACUGACGCUGAUACACGAAAGCGUGGGGAGC